AGUGAACGCUGGCGGUAGGCCUAACACAUGCAAGUCGAACGGCAGCACAGUAAGAGCUUGCUCUUACGGGUGGCGAGUGGCGGACGGGUGAGGAAUACAUCGGAAUCUACUUUUUCGCGGGGGAUAACGUAGGGAAACUUACGCUAAUACCGCAUACGACCUACGGGUGAAAGCAGGGGAUCUUCGGACCUUGCGCGAUUGAAUGAGCCGAUGUCGGAUUAGCUAGUUGGCGGGGUAAAGGCCCACCAAGGCGACGAUCCGUAGCUGGUCUGAGAGGAUGAUCAGCCACACUGGAACUGAGACACGGUCCAGACUCCUACGGGAGGCAGCAGUGGGGAAUAUUGGACAAUGGGCGCAAGCCUGAUCCAGCCAUACCGCGUGGGUGAAGAAGGCCUUCGGGUCGUAAAGCCCUUUUGUUGGGAAAGAAAAGCAGCAGGUUAAUACCCCGCUGUUCUGACGGUACCCAAAGAAUAAGCACCGGCUAACUUCGUG
rnacentral:rRNA from 1 species